AUCGCUUCUCGGCCUUUUGGCUAAGAUCAAGUGUAGUAUCUGUUCUUAUCAGUUUAAUAUCUGAUACGUCCCCUAUCAGGGGACUAUAUAUUAAACGGAUUUUUGGGCACAGGGAGUCGGAGGAAGGAGCUUGCUCCGUCCGCUUCAAGCAUCGACCCGUUAUUGCAGUGCGUUCGGGAACGGUGCGCCUCUC